CCCAGACUCCUACGGGAGGCAGCAGUGAGGAAUAUUGGUCAAUGGCCGUAAGGCUGAACCAGCCAAGUAGCGUGAGGGAAGACGGUCCUAUGGAUUGUAAACCUCUUUUGUCGGGGAGCAAAGAGGCCACGUGUGGUCAAAAGCGAGAGUACCCGAAGAAAAAGCAUCGGCUAACUCCGUGCCAGCAGCCGCGGUAAUACGGAGGAUGCGAGCGUUAUCCGGAUUUAUUGGGUUUAAAGGGUGCGUAGGCGGGACGGUAAGUCAGCGGUAAAAAUGCGGAGCUCAACUCCGUCGAGCCGUUGAAACUGCCGUUCUUGAGUGAGCGAGAAGUAUGCGGAAUGCGUGGUGUAGCGGUGAAAUGCAUAGAUAUCACGCAGAACUCCGAUUGCGAAGGCAGCAUACCGGCGCUCAACUGACGCUGAAGCACGAAGGCGUGGGUAUCGAACAGGAUUAGAUACCCGCGUAAG
rnacentral:rRNA from 1 species